CAAAGCUGGGUCAGCCAGGCCCCUCUGAGGACAAGAAGGGGAAGACUUUAGCUGGAGGAGACUGCAGCAGUCAUCUGGAUUAACUCCCUAAUUAGCACAGGAAGAAAGUCAAGUUCAAAGAGGUUGAGGAAAUGGCCAGGGUCACUCAGACAGUUUCAUUUUGACGUCCUCAAUAGAGUGCUGG